rnacentral:sRNA from 1 species
AAGAGAAAAAAAAAAGAUGUUCCUGCUAUUGAUGUUAAUAGCUGCCUUGCCAGUUUGUGUAACCCCGAUGGAAGUGAGAUCGUCUGUGACAGUGGACAACAUCAAAGGACAAAACGCUCUACUUUUCUGUACCUGGACUGCACAAGUCUUUGAGACCCCUAAUCAACUUUUUGUGCUAUCAAGUAAACAAGCCUACCUGCUACAAUGUGACGUGGAAAAUUCCCCCUACAAUUGCACCACAGGCAAAUUAUUAAGAACUAAAUAUAGCCUACUUAAUUCGGCUCAAGGACUAGUUUCAUUUUCAAUUUCCAACCUAAGUUGCUCAGACGAAGGUAUUUAUACUUG